CCUACGGGAGGCUGCAGUAGGGAAUAUUGCUCAAUGGGGGAAACCCUGAAGCAGCAACGCCGCGUGGAGGAUGAAGGUUUUCGGAUUGUAAACUCCUUUUGUUAGAGAAGAUAAUGACGGUAUCUAACGAAUAAGCACCGGCUAACUCCGUGCCAGCAGCCGCGGUAAUACGGAGGGUGCAAGCGUUACUCGGAAUCACUGGGCGUAAAGAGCGCGUAGGCGGGAUAGCAAGUCAGAUGUGAAAUCCUAUGGCUUAACCAUAGAACUGCAUUUGAAACUGUUAUUCUAGAGUAUGGGAGAGGUAGGUGGAAUUCUUGGUGUAGGGGUGAAAUGCGUAGAUAUCAGGAGGAACACCGGUGGCGAAGGCGGCCUGCUGGACUGCAACUGACGUUGAGGCCCGAAAGCGUGGGGAGCAAACAGGAUUAGAUACCCCUGUAGUC
rnacentral:rRNA from 1 species